rnacentral:rRNA from 1 species
UGGGGAAUAUUGCACAAUGGGGGAAACCCUGAUGCAGCGACGCCGCGUGAAGGAUGAAGUAUUUCGGUAUGUAAACUUCUAUCAGCAGGGAAGAAAAUGACGGUACCUGACUAAGAAGCCCCGGCUAACUACGUGCCAGCAGCCGCGGUAAUACGUAGGGGGCAAGCGUUAUCCGGAUUUACUGGGUGUAAAGGGAGCGUAGACGGUUAUGUAAGUCUGAUGUGAAAACCCGGGGCUCAACCCCGGGAAUGCAUUGGAAACUAUGUAACUAGAGUGUCGGAGAGGUAAGUGGAAUUCCUAGUGUAGCGGUGAAAUGCGUAGAUAUUAGGAGGAACACCAGUGGCGAAGGCGGCUUACUGGACGAUGACUGACGUUGAGGCUAGAAAGCGUGGGGAGCAAACAGG